UACGGAAGGGGCUAGCGUUGUUCGGAAUUACUGGGCGUAAAGCGCACAUAGGCGGCUUUGUAAGUUAGAGGUGAAAGCCUGGGGCUCAACUCCAGAACUGCCUUUAAGACUGCAUCGCUUGAAUCAUGGAGAGGCGGGUGGAAUUCCGAGUGUAGAGGUGAAAUUCGUAGAUAUUCGGAAGAACACCAGUGGCGAAGGCGGCCCGCUGGACAUGUAUUGACGCUGAGGUGCGAAAGCGUGGGGAGCAAACAGG
rnacentral:rRNA from 1 species